AAAACCCUAAAAAUGGGUUUUAGAGUCUUUGCUGUACUGUCUCAGGAGCAGUGAACUACCCCUUUUACUCAUAUCCUAUCCUAAAAUAUAAUCUGCUCUUCUCUAUUUUCAAAAUUUGAUCCAAGGAGGAAGACACUAGCGAUUUUUCAACAUGGAGGUGGAAUACCCAGUUAAGGACCUUGACAAUGAUGUAAGCGAAGAGGAGGAAGAAGAAGAAGAA
rnacentral:misc_RNA from 1 species